rnacentral:rRNA from 1 species
AGUGAACGCUGGCGGUAGGCCUAACACAUGCAAGUCGAACGGCAGCACAGUAAGAGCUUGCUCUUACGGGUGGCGAGUGGCGGACGGGUGAGGAAUACAUCGGAAUCUACUUUUUCGUGGGGGAUAACGUAGGGAAACUUACGCUAAUACCGCAUACGACCUACGGGUGAAAGCAGGGGAUCUUCGGACCUUGCGCGAUUGAAUGAGCCGAUGUCGGAUUAGCUAGUUGGCGGGGUAAAGGCCCACCAAGGCGACGAUCCGUAGCUGGUCUGAGAGGAUGAGCAGCCACACUGGAACUGAGACACGGUCCAGACUCCUACGGGAGGCAGCAGUGGGGAAUAUUGGACAAUGGGCGCAAGCCUGGUCCAGCCAUACCGCGUGAGUGAAGAAGGCCUUCGGGUUGUAAAGCCCUUUUGUUGGGAAAGAAAAGCAGCAGGUUAAUACCCCGCUGUUCUGACGGUACCCAAAGAAUAAGCACCGGCUAACUUCGUG